rnacentral:lncRNA from 1 species
CCUCUAAAACCUCAUCUUUGAUAACAAGUGUGAAACUAGGAUGGGUUGAGCUCAUGAGAGCUUUAUUAAGAAGAGAUUUAGCUAAGAAGAUAGACAUUGAAACAUAUAGCUCAUAGAGCUUUAUUUAAGACAAUAAAGUAAAGAAGUGGAAAGAACGUGAGAUUGUCUGCAAGAGUAUAAUGACUUUGAUUAUCACAUUAAGAAGAGAAAGUGAGGCUGCGGUUUUUAGCAGCCAAAGUUGGUUACAAAGACUUUCCUAGAACAUAUUUAUAAGACUACUUGGUAGGAACCCUAGUUACACUUAAGACUUCAUAACAUGGGCUUUGGACUUCUGUUGGGCUUUUAUGCAUGAGCUCUAAUACUCCCCCGCAAACUUGGCGUCGAGUGAAUGCAAGAUGCUGAGUUUGAACUGCAGAUGGAAGUGACUUGGACAGAAACAUGUGUAAUCAAGCAAGACCAUUGUGAUGUAGGUUGAUGACUCUAUUCACCAUGAAGAACAAGCCUUAGCGUGAGAACUAUUCAAGUCUGUACCUGGAGAUUGUCGCAUGGCUCCCUCAGAGGUUUCUUUUGAACUUGGAGAGCUUAGUCAACAUCCCUCAGCGACUUAUUUGUCUCACUGAGAACCGGGCUUCUUUGACCCUUUUAACUCCUAAUCUGUCUCCUGACGAAAGAAUUAUCUUCCCAAACCUACUCAAAUCCUACUCUUUAGCAACUGCUUCCAAUAGCCAACAAAAAUCUGCAUUUUGUAGAAUCUAUCCUUCUCUUUGACAUUUCAUCGAGCACUUGGAGUACAUUCAUCAAAACACUUUGCUUUUCCACACAAAAAAACGACAACAGAAACCUUCCAACACAGUCAUAGCAAACCCCAUACCACUCAUAUUUCAUCCAAGACUCUCAAUUCCAGACCUAAGAAUCUAAACCAGCAAGCCAAAUAUCCUUCUCAAGCUACAAAACAAGUUAUCUCUAUUUCUUUGGAUCUGUCGCAAAAAAAGGAGACUUCUUUACCGUGAUAUGUGUAAAGGAAGAAGCUUGAAAUCUUGUGGUUCCAAGGUCUUUAGCUUCGGCUGAUGAGUCUGGUGGUCUUGAGAGCACUUAAAAAACGUCAGCAACUUGCAGCUUUUCACCAGAUGCUUAGUGUUGCAAACGAUGUCUUCAUGAAGCUGGUGAGAUGAAGCGAGACCAACUCUCUGAAGAUGAUGCUAGAGCUGACUUGUUAGGUUGAGAGGAAGCUUAAAUGACCCAUGAAUCGACUGAAGCUCUGAUACCAUGAUAACAAGUGUGAAACUAGGAUGGGUUGAGCUCAUGAGAGCUUUAUUAAGAAGAGAUUUAGCUAAGAAGAUAGACAUUGAAACAUAUAGCUCAUAGAGCUUUAUUUAAGACAAUAAAGUAAAGAAGUGGAAAAAACGUGAGAUUGUCUGCAAGAGUAUAAUGACUUUGAUUAUCACGUUAAGAAGAGAAAGUAAGGCUGCGGUUUGUAGCAGCCAAAAUUGGUUACAAAGACUUUCCUAGAACAUAUUUAUAAGAUUACUUGGUAGGAACCCUAGUUACACUUAAGACUUCAUAACAUGGGCUUUGGACUUCUGUUGGGCUUUUAUGCAUGAGCUCUAAUA